GAUGAACGCUGGCGGCGUGCCUAAUACAUGCCAGUCGAGCGAACAGACGAGGAGCUUGCUCCUCUGACGUUAGCGGCGGACGGGUGAGUAACACGUGGAUAACCUACCUAUAAGACUGGGAUAACUUCGGGAAACCGGAGCUAAUACCGGAUAAUAUAUUGAACCGCAUGGUUCAAUAGUGAAAGACGGUUUUGCUGUCACUUAUAGAUGGAUCCGCGCCGCAUUAGCUAGUUGGUAAGGUAACGGCUUACCAAGGCAACGAUGCGUAGCCGACCUGAGGGGGUGAUCGGCCACACUGGAACUGAGACGCGGUCCAGACUCCUACGGGAGGCAGCAGUAGGGAAUCUUCCGCAAUGGGCGAAAGCCUGACGGAGCAACGCCGCGGGAGUGAUGAAGGUCUUCGGAUCGUAAAACUCUGUUAUUAGGGAAGAACAAAUGUGUAAGUAACUAUGCACGUCUUGACGGUACCUAAUCAGAAAGCCACGGCUAACUACGUG
rnacentral:rRNA from 1 species